UGUUUUUGUAGCUAUUGUGAAUGAGAUUGAUCUUAGAAGUUCUUUCUCAGCUGUGUCAUUGCCUAUGUAUACAAAGGCUGUUGAUUUUUGUGCAUUGAUUUUAUAUCCAUCUACUUUGCCAAAUUGUUCUAUGAGUUCCAAUAGUCUCUUAGUAGAGUUCUUUGGAUCCCCUAAAUAAAGAAUCAUAUCAUCUGCAAAGAGGGAUAGUUUGAGUUCUUCCUUCCCAAUUUGUAUCCCUUUAAUUUCUUUUUCUUGCCUAAUAGCUUGGCUAACACUUCCAGUACUAUAUUUAAUAGCAGUGGUGAGAGUGGGCAUCCCUGUCUGGUACCAGAUCUCAAUGGAAAUGCUUCCAACUUUUCCCCAUUCAAUACAAUGCUGGCUGUGGGGUUUUCAUAAAUUGUUUUGAUUGUAUUGAGGAAUGUUCCUUCUAUACCCAAUUUGCUUAGAGUUUUCAUCAUGAAAGGGUGUUGUAUUUUAUCAAAUGCUUCCUCUGCGUCUAUUGAGAUAAUAGUAUGGUUUUUCUUCUGCAGUUUAUUAAUGUGGUAUAUCACAUUGAUUGAUUUGUGAACGUUCUUUCAAUUUCUCUUUGCUAUGAAAGGUCUUUAUUUCUCCUUCAUUCACAAAUGAGAGCUUUGCAGGAUAUAAUAUUCUGGGAUGGCAUUUUUCUCUCUUAGUACUUGGGCUAUAUCUUGCCAUUCCCUCCUAGCCUGAAGGGUUUCUGAUGAGAAGUCUGCUAUGAGUCUGACUGGAUGUCCAAAACUGUACCUGCUCUAUUGUCUUGCACACAUUUGUAAGGUGUGUGGAGAAAGAAAAUAGUGUCCAUACCAUCCCUUUUUUUUUUCUCUCCUCUAGUUGGACUGGUGUACUUUUCUCCAUGGGGCAUCAAGCCUCGUUCCCUCUAGGCUCUUCCUGCCACUUUUCAGCCAGUGUCUCGGGCUACUGCGGUUUCACCUCACCUCUCUUUCCAGCACUGGUUCAGAUUCUAGGCAGCUGAGCUCCCAAGUCGUAGGUGACCAUGUCCUCCACAUAGAUCUACCAUGUGCCUCUAAUUCCAGAAGAGUUCCCUCUGCAGUUUUUUUUCCCUGAAGUCUCUUUCCUGAGACUUCACUAUCUUCACUUUUAUUAAACUAUCUUUUCCUGGACUAUCAGUGAGCUCACUCCCUAUUCUGCCAUCUUGGAGCCACUCUCAAACUGUUAUUUUUUAAGGAUUUAUUUUAUUUAUUUGAAAGGCAGAGGGUAAAGGAGAAGGAGCAAUUUUAAAUCCACUGGUUUACAUCUUCACACCACAAAUGGAUGCAAUGACCACGGUUGUGCAAGGACAAAGUCAGGAGCCAGGAACUCCAUUUGGGUCUCUCACAUGAAUGCAGGGGCCCAAGCACAUGGGCCAUCCCCCACUGCUUUCCCAGGUGCAUUAGCAGAGAGCUGAAUUGGAAGCAAACCAAUCAACACUCUGAUAUGGGAUGUUGAGUCUCAAAUAGUGGAUUAGCCCACUGCACCAUAAUGCCAACACCAUAAAGCUGUUUUCAAAAGCUGUUGCUUCAUUUUACAUUCCUAUCAGCAAUAUGUGAACCCUCCUCUUUCUCCAGAUACUUGACAAUCACUGCAACUGUCUGUCUGUUUGAUUAUAGCCACCCUCAUAGGCAGGUGUGCAGUGGUAUCUCAUUUCAUUUCCCUAAUGACUAAUAAUGUUGAAUAUCCUUUCAUGAACUUAUUGGCCAUUGGUAUGUCUUCUUUGGAGAAGUGUCUAUCCAGAUCACUCUGCUGUAUUUUUAUUACUAAGUAUCAUUCAUGCAUGCUGGCUACAAGUCCCAUAUAUUUACUGUGAUUCUAUGAGUUGUUUUUUAACUUUGUUGAUGAUUUUCUUUUAAGCAUAUUUCAAAUUUUUUUGGUUAAGUCAGAUUUACCUAUUUUUCCUUUUAUCGCUUUUGCUUUCAGUGUCUACCCUAGGCAUAUAUGCCUGUAUAUGCUUUCUUCUAAGAUUUUUCAAGUUUUAGCUGUCAAAUUCAAGUACAUGAUCCACUUUGAGUUCAUUAUGUAUACAAACAUGGUAUAAAGUAGAGAUACGGUUUGUUUUUCAUGUGGAUAUUCAAUUGUUCUAGUACCAUUUGUUGAAAAAGUUUACUUUUCCCAUAGAAUCAAGAUAUUUAAAAAUUAAGUUUUCAACAAGAGAAAUAGAAAUCACUGGGAAAUCAUCCUAAGGAUUAAGCUGGGGUGAGUAGUCAGGUCAUGAGAAAGCAGGAGUGGGGCAUGGUUAGGUAAUCAGUAGGAUAAUGUGACUGUGCUCAAUAUGAAUAGGAAAGUCCAGGGAGAAAGUUUUAAAAAUAAGAUGAGCUCUAUUCUGAACAUUUGAAUUUGCAUUGUCCAGGUAAAAAUGGACAGUACAUCUGAGAAGAUGCUAAAUGGUAAUGUAGUACUAGGAAUAUUCUUCAUUAAGAUGCUAAUUAAAUGCUUCCUCCAAAGAAACAAAUUUAAAGGUGAAACAAUACCAAGAGAAACAAUUCCAUUGAGACAGCAAGAAGAGGUAGAAUGAAAGAUUUUUAAAGUAUAAUUACAUGAUAUAUCCCUUUUUUAUUUAUUUUAAUCGAAAACUUUUAUUUAAUGAAUAUAAAUUUUGAAAGUAUAAGUUUUGGAUUGUGGUGGUUCUUCCCCCAUAACCACGCUCCCACCCUCAAACCAUCCCAUCUCCUACUCCCUUUCCCAUCUCAUAAUUUAUUAAGAUUCACUUUUAAUUAUAUUUAUAUACAGGGGAUCAACUAUAUACUAAGUAAAGAUUUCAACAGUUUGCACUCACAUAGACACAUAAAGUACUGAUUGAAGACUAGUUUCACUGUUAAUUUUCAUAGUACACCAUAUUAAGAACAGAGGUCUUACAUGGGAAGCAAGUGCACGGUGACUGCCAUUGUUGAUUUAACAAUUGACACUCUUAUUUUUGACGUCAGUAAUCACCCAAGGCUCUUGUCAUGAGUUGCCAAGGCUAUGAAAGCCUCUUGAGUUCACAUACUCUGACUUAUUUAGACAAGGCCAUAAUCAAAGUGGAAGUUCUCUCCUCCCUUCAGAGAAAGGUACCUCCUAUUUUGAUGGCCCUUUCUUUCCACUGGGAUCUCACUCACAGAGAUCUUUCAUUUAGGGUUUGUUUUUUGUUUUUUUUUCCAGAGUGUCUUGGCUUUCCAUGCCUGAAAUGCUCUCAUGGGCUUUUUAGCCAGAUCUGAAUGCCUUAAGGGCUGAUUCUGAGGGCAGAGUGUUGUUUAGGGCAUCUGCCAUUCUAUGAGUCUAUUGUGCAUCCUGCUUCCCAUAUUGGAUCGUUCUCUUCUUUUUAAUUCUAUCAGUUAGUAUUAGUCUUAUUUAUGUGAAUCCCUUUGACUCUUAAUUGUAUCAUUAGGAUCAGUUAUGAACUUAAACUGAUCACUUUAACUAGUAAGAUGGCAUUGGUAACUGCCAACUUAAUGGGAUUUGGAGUCCCAUGGCAAGUUUUUAGCUUUACCCUUAUGGUAAUUCCAAGUGAGCAUGUGCUGAACUGUAUAUCACCUCCAUUUCUAUUCCCACUCUUAUUUUUAACAGAGAUCAAUUUUCAGUUAACUUUAAAUACCUAAGAAUAAUUUUGUAUUAAUUAAAGAGUUCAACCAAUAGUAUUAAAUAGAAAAAGAAAAUACUAAAAAGAAUAAAAUAGUAAUCUGUUUCUCAACAGUCAGGACAAGAGCUGAUCAAGUCAUUGCUUCUCAUAGUGUCAGUUUCACUUCUACAGGUUUCCUUUUAGGUGUUCAGUUAAUUGUCACCGAUCAGGGAGAACAUAUGAUAUUUGUCCCUUUGGGACUGGCUUAUUUCACUCAGCAUAUUGUUUCCCAGAUUCCUCCAUUUUGUUGCAAAUGACCAGAUUUCAUUUUUUUUUACCACUGUGUAGUAUUCCAUAGAGUACAUAUUCCAUAAUUUCUUUAUCCAGUCUUCUGUUGAGGACAUUUACUUUGAUUCCACGUCUUAGCUAUUGUAUAUUGAGCUGCAAUAAACACUGAGGUGCAGAUAGCUCUUUUAUUUGCCAAUUUUAUUUCCCUUGGGUAAAUUCUGAGGAGUGGGAUGGCUGGGUUGUGUGGUAGGGCUAUAUUAGAUUUCUGAAGUAUCUCGAAAUUAUCUUCCAUAGUGGCUUUACCAGUUUGCAUUCCCAUUUGCACUGGAUUAGUGUGCCUUUUUCCCCAUAUCCCCACCAGUAUCUGUUGUUAGUAGAUUUCUGUAUAUCAGCCAUUCUAACUGGGGUGAAGUGAAACCUCACUGUGGCUUUGAUUUGCAUUUCUUUUAUGGCUAGUGAGCCUGAACAUUUUUUUCAUGUGUCUGUUGGCUGUUUGAAUUUCCUCUUUUGAAAAAUAACUAUUUAGGUCCUUGGCCCAUUUCUCUUCAUUUCUCUUUUUUUUAAUUUAUUUAUUUAUUUAUUUGAAAGUCAGAGUUACACAGAGAGAGGAGAGGCAGAGAGAGAGAGAGAGGUCUUCCAUCCGAUGAUUCACUCCCCAGUUGGCCGCAACAGCCAUAGUUGCACCCAUCUGAAGCCAGGAGCUUCUCCGGGUCUCCCACACAGGUGCAGGGGCCCAAGGACUUGGACCAUCUCAUACUGAUUUCUCAGGCCAUAGUCGAGAGCUGGAUUGGAAGAGGAGCAGCCAGGGCUAGAACCAGCGCCCAUAUGGGAUGCUGGUGCUUCAGGCCAGGGUGUUAAUCCGCUGCACCACUGCGCCAGCCCCUGGCCCAUUUCUUAAGUGAGUUGUUUGUUUUGUUGUUGUGGAUUUUCUUGAUCUCUUUGUAGAUUCUGGUUAUUAACCCUUUAUCAUUGAAUAAUUUGCAGAUUUUUUUUCCCAUUCUGCCGGUUGCCUCUUCACUUUUCUGUUUCUUUUGCAGUACAGAAACUUCUCAAUUUGAUGUAAUCCCAGUUAUUAAUUUUGGCUUUGUCAGCCUGUGCCUCUGGGGUCUUAUCCAAGAAGUCUUUGCCUGUGCCUGUGUCUUGCAGGGUUACUCCGAUGUUCUCUAAUAAUUUGAUGUUUUCAGGUUGUAGGUUUAGAUCUUUAAUCCAUGUUGAGUGGAUUUUUGUGUAAGGUGUAAGGUAGGGGUCUUGCUUCAUAGUUCUGCUUGUGGAAAUCCAGUUUUCCCAGCACCAUUUAUUGAAUAGACUGUCCUUGUUCCAGGAAUUGGUUCUAGCUCCUUGAUCAAAUAUAUGUUGGUUGUAGAUGUUUGGAUUGAUUUCUGCUAUUUCUAUUCUGUUCCAUUGGUCUAUCCAUCUGUUUCUGUACCAGUACUAUGCUGUUUAUCCCUUUAUUUUUUAAACAUAUCUAUGGCAUCCCUAAUGUACUAGAAUCUAUUGCAAGAACCUGGAGUUGAAGGAAGUAGCAAUUAACAUAGUCUCUCCCUUCAUGGCACUUCAUAUCCAGAGUAGAGAAACAGAUAAUUCUUUAGACAACUGGGAUACAAUAGUAAGUGCAGGAUGGAGAAAGUCUAGGCGGAAACAGAGAGCAUUUACCCCAGUCCAAAUGUCAGGAAAGGUACUGGAUGAAUUCUCAUAUGACUUGAAAUCUGAAUGAGAAAGAAAAACAAGCCAAAGAAAGAGGCAGGGGCCAAGGGAUCCAUUCCAGGUGGAAAAAAGAAAAUAUGCAAACAGCAGAAGAUUGGAAUGUCCUAGGGUUGCAGCAAGAAGAUUUACCAUAUCCUUGUGAAGAGGUAUGCCUUCCAAAGCAAUAAAUGACUGUGACUGAGACAGACAGACUUAACAGCUGCACAGCAGAUGGCCCUCAGUCGUGUUUUAGGUGACUGCUUCGGUUGAAUAUUAUAAAAUUGGAUGGAGGAAAUUCUGCCAAUUUCUCCUUGCAAUUAUAAAAGUGUGGAAUUGAGCAUCUGUUACCUUCCAUUGACUGCUAUGGGGCUGAGAUACAAAGAAGAAUACAACAGAGUCCUCUGGACACUCCUCUAAUGCAGCCACUGAUGCUGUGAGGAAGCCCAGAGGAGUCCAAACGGAGAGUGGAGAGAGCGCAUUAGCGAGGUCCACAUCAAGAGCUCCCUGAUAAUGCACCUGGGAAAGCACCAGUGAAUGAAUCAACUACUUGGGUCCGUGUCACCUACACUGGGGAUCCAGUUGCACUCCUAGCUUCGGUCUGGCUCAGCCCCAGCCAUUGUGGCCAUUUGGGGAGUGAACCAGCAGAUGGAAGAUCUCUCAUUCCCUGUCUCUCUGUAACUCUGCCUUUUAAAUAA